CAGAUAGAGGUGCGGUCAAGAUGAGUAGCUCCGCUGUGCUAACGUGCGUUUCCCGAACGUGCGGCGCGGUGCGAAAGGCAAGUCCGCCGAAGCUCGGUGCUCGGGUCGCCGUUGCUGACUGUAUGCCGAACAGGUAUGCAGUUGUCAUCAUGCUUUGUGAUGGAGUGCUAUCGG
rnacentral:ncRNA from 1 species